AGUCGAAGAAUCGGCAGAAACCCAGAGCCAGUCUGCAGCCAAUAAGCCAAAGCGUAGGACUCGCAGGGCUACGGCUAAACGAUCCCUCUCCAAAGCAAUUGCCGAACAAGAUACAAGAGAGAAGAAUCCGAAAAAGCCAAGGCACGAAUACAGGGCACCUCCCACAUCCGACACAUCAUCCGAAUCGGGGAACCCGAAAUUAGAGAGACGGGAAAACCCGAAGGAAUCAGAGAGUGUCGGGGGGAGAGUUCCAACACCACCUCCAUCGCCGCGUCCAUCAUCUGCUCAGGAGCAUGCCGAGGCAGACACCCAAGUCACGGCGAGCGGUUCAAAACCAGUCGGGGCGCCGCCCAAGCCGAAACCAGUGCCAGGCCGACACAGGCAGUUUGCCAUGAAGGUGACCGACAUCAAUACUGACACUGCCCAGAGCAGCAAACCUUCAGAAGAGUCAGGCGACAGAGGACAACAGUCGGAAUAGAGUGCCAGAUCUCAUGCCGAAACUGCUGACAAAGAAACAGAACCUGUGACACAUACAGAUGAUGCAGUGCUGCCGGAGACGGAAGCCCUUCAGGAUGAACCUAUUACGACUGACGACGUUGCCACAGCAAAGAUGAUGGUCACCGGGGGUGGUGAGGCUUCUACUAGCACUGCCAAUCUGAACAGGAUGCCUUGAAAAAGCUGGAUGAAUAUCGGGGCGUAUUGGAGAUAUGCCACAAGAAGUACCCCGACUUCCUAGCCAUGGAGAGGAAGAUCCUCGCACUUGAAGAAGAAAACAGAAAACUCAAAUCAGAAAACAACGUGCUGACUAGAGAUAAACUCCAACUGGACAGCUCGCUGACUAGAGAUAAACUCCAACUGGACAGCUCAUUCAAUAAUUGAAGCAUACUCACAAGGCCCGGAAGAAGAAAGAUAAAGAGCAAAUCCAACGGCUAGAAGAGGCGUGGAAGAAAACCCAAGAGUCUGAGAAGACCAAAUCCAAGGAGCUGUCCAAGCUUGAAAAGGAGCACUCAAAAUUGUAGAAAGAUCGUGACCAAAUUAGCCGACGAAUUCGAGUUUUAAACAGUCAAUGACUUGUAUAUGUGAUGUGAACAGUAUAUUUAUGCUAGCUGAUGUAUAAAAUAUCAACUUUAUUGAAUGCAUAA